ensembl:lncRNA
ACAAAAUUGGCAUGGCGGAGUUUCCCACUACCCGUGAAUGCCUCUUAUUUUAUGUCUCUGGCUGACUCCUGAAUCUCCUCCCACUCUCUGCUUGAUCCCUGCCGAGUGAACGAGAUCUUUGGUUUUGCCUUUGCUGACUGCUGAUCUGAUCGUCUCAAGUCUGGUGACCUGCUGCAGAAAACCCUCUCCCUCUAUCAUUAACAAGCAAUUCAGUCUGUCCUAUCACUCUCCCUCUCCCUGCUCCAUCUUUUUUGACAAGCCAUUCUAUCUUCUAUCAUUUCUCCGCCACGAGCUCUAUCUAAGUUGACAAGCUUGAACCUGAGUUGAAAAGCAAAACAAGUUUGCCUGAAACCAAGUUUGAGAUAAACCAAGUUUGAGAUAAACCAAGUUUGAGAUAAACCAAGUUUGAGAUAAACCAAGUUUGAGAAGAAACCAAGUUUUUGGAAUUGAAGUUACCACAACUUCAUCGAUCUGUUUUCAGAAUUCGGAGAGAUCUCCGCUCUCACUGCUCCUUCUUUCCUGUCAUUAAACUUUCAUAUCCACUCAUUUUGCUGGAAAUUACAAGUAAAAAGUUGAAUAUACAGUAGUAGAAUUACAGUACAGUAGAACUCACAGUAGAAACUACUUACAGAGCCCUACAUUUGUCAUUUUAAUUUUGGAUUACACUUUGAAAUAAAUACUGAUAGUUUGGCUUACAAUUGCAAUUUGAUAAAUUAUAUAAACUUAUAUACACCUUUUUUUAGAUAUAUUUGUAGUAAGAUAAUCUGGUUAUUUUGUAAUUCAG